rnacentral:rRNA from 1 species
AUGGCUUUGAUGCCCGUGGAGCUCUGCUACGCCACGGUCGCCUCUCCGGUGGCGGCGCCAUCGGCCAGGAGGGCGCCGAGGCGGCGGGCGGUGGUGCGGUGCGCGGCGUCCGCGCCGGCGCCGAUGGGGGAGAAGACCGAGUACAGGGACGGGCCGCUGGAGCGCGCGUUCAUGGGGCUGUUCGCGCGCAAGAUGGAGAAGUUCGCGGGAAGGAAGAAGAAGCCGGGCCCGGGCGGCGAGGAGGAGAAGAAGGCGGUGUGGGAGUGGGACUACGAGAGCUUCGUGGACGUGUCGCGGCGGGUGAUGGUGGGGCGGUCGCGCGCGCAGCAGCAGGAGGCCGUCCGCGAGGUGCUCCUCUCCAUGCUCCCUCCCGGCGCCCCCGAGCAGUUCAAGAAGCUCUUCCCGCCCACGCGCUGGGCCUGCGAGUUCAACGCCGCCCUCACCGUCCCCUUCUUCCACUGGCUCGUCGGUCCGUCAGAGGUUAUCGAGGUAGAGGUUGACGGGGUGAAGCAGAGGAGUGGAGUGCUCAUAAAGAAAUGCAGGUACUUGGAGAACAGCGGGUGCGUUGGGAUGUGCGUCAACAUGUGCAAGAUCCCCACGCAGAGCUUCUUCACCGACGAGUUCGGCCUUCCCCUCACCAUGAAUCCAAACUUUGAAGACAUGAGCUGCGAAAUGAUAUAUGGUCAGGUGCCCCCACCACUGGAAGAAGAUCCAGUGUCAAAACAACCCUGCUAUCCCAGCCUCUGUUCCAUAUCGACGCCCUCCGCUGCAAUAUGUCCCAAAAUUCAGAACUAG